rnacentral:rRNA from 1 species
UCAAAAACAUGGCUUAUUGAUAAUAAUUUUAAGUCUAACCUGCCCCCUGAAAAUUAAAUGGCCGCGGUAUUUUGACCGUGCUAAGGUAGCAUAAUCAUUAGUUUCUUAAUUAGAAGCUGGAAUGAAUGGUUGGAUGAAAAAAAUUCUGUCUCUAUUUAAUUUGAUUAAAAUUUUAUUUUUUAGUUAAAAAGCUAAAAUUUUUUUGAAAGACGAGAAGACCCUAUAGAGUUUAAUAUAUUAUUUUUUUAAAUAUUAUUGGAAUAUAAAUUUUUAAUUUUAUUAUAUAUUUAAUUGGGGUGAUUGAAAAAUUGAAUUAACUUUUUUUGUUUUAAACAUUAAUUUAUGAAUAAUUGAUCCAUAUUUUGUGAUUAUAAGAUUAAAUUACCUUAGGGAUAACAGCGUAAUGUUUUCAGAGAGUUCUUAUCGAAGAGAAAGAUUGCGACCUCGAUGUUGGAUUAAAAUAAAUAAUUGGUGUAGAAGCUAAUUAAAUUAGGUCUGUUCGACCUUUAAAAUUUUACAUGAUCUGA